rnacentral:rRNA from 1 species
AUUGAACGCUGGCGGCAGGCUUAACCCAUGCAAGUCGAGCGAGCGGCGGACGGGUGAGUAAUGUCUGGGAAACUGCCUGGUGGAGGGGGAUAACUACUGGAAACGGUCGCUAAUAACGUCUACCAUCAGAUGUGCCCAGAUGGGAUUAGUGAGUAGGUGGGGUAAUGGCGCACCUAGGCGACGAUCCCUAGCUGGUUUUAGAGGAUGACCAGCCAGACUCGAACUGAGACACGGUCCAGACUCCUACGGGAGGCAGCAGUGGGGAAUAUUGCACAAUUGGCGCAAGCCUGAUGCAGCCAUGCCGCGUGUGUUAAGAAGGCCUUCGGGUUGUAGAGCACUUUCAGCGAGGAGGCGUUACUCGCAGAAGAAGCACCGGCUAACUCCGUGCCAGCAGCCGCGGUAAUUC